GUAUAUAUAAUUUAAAUAAAAUAUUAAACUGUGACUUUAAUUAUGAGAGUUGAA
rnacentral:tRNA from 1 species